AUCUUGUCUUCUUCCUUCAAGUCUCUUAUGAUUUUUAACAAGUUUUAUCUUGGUCUGAAGAUAUUUGAGCAAAAAGAGUGAAGUUGGAAACUUGGAGACUCCAGGAGCUCGAUCUCUCCCAUCUCCGAGUUGGAUCGCCUCUCCUCUCGAUCUUCAAGAGGUAAGAGUAGAUCCUCACCUCUUUUCAUGUUUUGAGUAAGUUUUGAGAAGUUGAAGGGGUUUUAUGCAUGAUUAGGGUAGUUGUCAAAGGUUAGGGUCAUUGUUGAGUUUAUGGAUAAUGUAUGUUAUAAUGUGUUGCUAUGAUGUGUUGUUGGGGUAUAGGUUAGUUGUAAGCCCCUAUAUGCUGGAAAAUGUGUUUAUGCAUGUUGUAGAAUAGCUAAAUGCAUGAUUUGAGGGUUAUGGGAGGC
rnacentral:lncRNA from 1 species